UACGAAGGGGGCUAGCGUUGCUCGGAAUCACUGGGCGUAAAGCGCACGUAGGCGGAUUGCUAAGUCAGGGGUGAAAUCCUGGAGCUCAACUCUGGAACUGCCUUUGAUACUGUCGAUCUGGAGUAUGGAAGAGGUGAGUGGAAUUCCGAGUGUAGAGGUGAAAUUCGUAGAUAUCGGAGGAACACCAGUGGCGAAGGCGGCUCACUGGUCCAUUACUGACGCUGAGGUGCGAAAGCGUGGGGAGCAAACAGG
rnacentral:rRNA from 1 species